rnacentral:tmRNA from 1 species
GGGGACGUACAGAUUCGACGGAUUUGCACUUUAACAAUCGCAAGCUGUUUAGGAAACAUUAAACAUCGUCCAUAGGGCGACCAGCCUUUGGCUGGUAAAAUAUUGUUUCAAAAAUAAAUGCUAAGGCACAAAACCUUACAUCCCAAAUGGGGCAACUUUUAGCCCUCGGUGGUUUUAACCGACCACAGUAUGCUACUUUAGCCGCAUAAGGGUAUUUUAAGCUAAUCUCUAUCUGAUGGAAUGCUUAAAGUAUGUACAACAGUCAGAUUGCUAAGAUUAUGGUGUUGGUUGAUCCAUAAUUUUUUAAGACAACUCAAUCAAGUAUUGGUUUUUCCGCCUUCGCUAAAAGCUUCGGCGGGACAGGCCUGCUAAUGGGCCACCCAAUACUUAAAAAAUAUAUUAGCUAAGCUUGUAGAUGUUGUUACUUUAUAAAUUCACACAGGGCUCAAUGCCCUCGUCUCCACAC